rnacentral:rRNA from 1 species
AUUGAACGCUGGCGGAAUGCUUUACACAUGCAAGUCGAACGGCAGCACGGACUUCGGUCUGGUGGCGAGUGGCGAACGGGUGAGUAAUGUAUCGGAACGUGCCCAGUCGUGGGGGAUAACGUAGUGAAAAUUACGCUAAUACCGCAUACGAUCUAUGGAUGAAAGCGGGGGAUCGCAAGACCUCGCGCGAUUGGAGCGGCCGAUAUCAGAUUAGGUAGUUGGUGGGGUAGAGGCACACCAAGCCAACGAUCUGUAGCUGGUCUGAGAGGACGACCAGGCACACCGGAACUGAGACACGGUCCAGACUCCUACGGGAGGCAGCAGUGGGGAAUUUUGGACAAUGGGCGAAAGCCUGAUCCAGCCAUUCCGCGUGCAGGAUGAAGGCCCUCGGGUUGUAAACUGCUUUUGUACAGAACGAAAAGGUUUCUACUAAUACUAGGAGCUCAUGACGGUACCGUAAGAAUAAGCACCGGCUAACUACGUGCCAGCCGCCGCAGUAA